rnacentral:rRNA from 1 species
AGUCGAGCGGUAAGGCCCUUCGGGGUACACGAGCGGCGAACGGGUGAGUAACACGUGGGUGACCUGCCCCCUACUCUGGGAUAAGCCUGGGAAACUGGGUCUAAUACCGGAUAUGACUACAUGUCGCAUGGUGUGUGGUGGAAAGUUUUUCGGUGGGGGAUGGGCCCGCGGCCUAUCAGCUUGUUGGUGGGGUGAUGGCCUACCAAGGCGACGACGGGUAGCCGGCCUGAGAGGGCGACCGGCCACACUGGGACUGAGACACGGCCCAGACUCCUACGGGAGGCAGCAGUGGGGAAUAUUGCGCAAUGGGCGGAAGCCUGACGCAGCGACGCCGCGUGGGGGAUGACGGCCUUCGGGUUGUAAACCUCUUUCGGCCCCGACGAAGCGUGAGUGACGGUAGGGGUAGAAGAAGCACCGGCCAACUACGUGCCAGCAGCCGCGGUAAUACGUAGGGUGCGAGCGUUGUCCGGAAUUAUUGGGCGUAAAGAGCUCGUAGGCGGUCUGUCGCGUCGGUCGUGAAAACUUGGGGCUUAACCCUGAGCUUGCGGUCGAUACGGGCAUGACUGGAGUUCGGCAGGGGAGACUGGAAUUCCUGGUGUAGCGGUGAAAUGCGCAGAUAUCAGAGAACACCGGGUGGCGAACGCGGGUCUCUGGGCCGAUACUGACGCUGAGGAGCGAAAGCGUGGGGAGCGAACAGGAUUAGAUACCCUGGUAGUCCACGCCGUAAACGGUGGGCGCUAGGUGGUGGGGGGCCAUUCCACGGUCUCUGU